UACAGAGGUGGCAAGCGUUAUCCGGAUUCACUGGGUUUAAAGGGUGCGUAGGUGGGCAGGUAAGUCAGUGGUGAAAUCUCCGGGCUUAACUCGGAAACUGCCAUUGAUACUAUCUUUCUUGAAUACCGUGGAGGUCAGCGGAAUAUGUCAUGUAGCGGUGAAAUGCUUAGAUAUGACAUAGAACACCAAUUGCGAAGGCAGCUGGCUACACGAAUAUUGACACUGAUGCACGAAAGCGUGGGGAUCAAACAGG
rnacentral:rRNA from 1 species